UGAUGAAGAAUUAAAGCUCCCUCAAAGAUCCAACUUGGCUGCAUUUGCCAAUGCCAAGCUUUGAGCUAAAUGUUAUUCCAAUUUUAUUAGCCCACACCCCGACAAUUUGUUGGUUUUGUUUUCACGUCUGUUGAAGUUUCCUUUUUGUUGUGGUAGUUCUUAUAAUUGUGGAGAGUUUGUUUGUUUGUUUAUUUAGUUUUGUUCAGUAAAGUUGUGUUCCUAAUUUAAAGUUUGAUACUAAUUUAAAACGACCUCCAAAAAUUGGGUAGUUUUAUUUUAUGUAGUUAACCUAAUAUAAUAUAUAGUAGGAAGAUGCUGCAAAACAAAUUGAAUUUCCAUACUCAUUCUUCAUGUCCUCCACCAGAAAAAGAAAAUGACACUCCUCCUUUAAAUGUGAUUUGGAAUAUAUCCAUCCAGUUUCUUCAAGCAAUUUGAAAUAAGUCAUGAGAGGUAUUCCAUAUUAAGGGCGUGAAAAUUUUAAGGCCCCGUUUGAUAAUCAUUUCAAUUUUAGUUUUUAGUUUUCAUUUUUCGUGCUAGAGUAUAGAGGAAAAUGAGAGUGAGAAUGAGAGUGAGGUUGAGAGAGGAGGGGAGGGAGAAGUAAUAAAAGUGAAAAUAAAAACUUGAAAGUGAAAACAAUUUCAAAUAGAAUUCAGUUUUCACUUUUGUUACUUCUCCCUCUCAUCUUCCCUCUCAAUCCCAUCUUCACACUUAUUUUCACUACCAUUAUCCCUCUUUUCUCUCCAUAUUCUAACACAAAAAUUGAAAACAAAAAUUUAAAAUUAAAAUGGUUAUCAAACAGAACCAUAAAAGGGGUUAAUUCGAUUUUAAGGCUAAAAGAAUGAAGUUUGAAUGGUAGAAAAAUAUUGUAGAUACACAAGCACAAAUUAGUGGGGGCCAAGCCCCAAAAGAAGAAACUAAAUAAUAAUGACUCUUCGUUACCCAAUAUGUGGAGGAGCAUCACUCAGGAAUCCCAAUCCAAAGUUUGGCUCUUCAUUAUAGUUUCCACAGAGUCAAUCGUGAUUCGUAAGCCUUUAAAAAAAAAAAUUUUUUUUUAAAAGCAAACAAAUUAGUUACAGUAUACGUAUAAUUUUCAUACGUUACUUAUAUAUGUGUCAUAAUGUGACUCAAGAAUGACUAUUUAAUAGCUAUGAUUUCAAUCAUAUUAUACAACACAAAAUUCUGCCUUAUCUAUUUAAUGAACAUUUGUUUGUGAGUCUUUAUAAAGACACCUACUUAAUGUAAUCAGCACUAAAACAGUGGCCUUAUAACUAAUUAACACAAUCUAGCUAGCUCGACCAGAAAGAGACAUUUAUAUCACGAUCCCAAGCAUGAAACAAGUUGCUCUUAUCAACUGACGCAUCCAUGUUUAGCCCAUCAAAUUAGACAAUUUGUCGGCAUGAAAGAGUUCCACACGAAAUUGUCGUUCCAGCUAAAAUCCAAGAAAUUGUCAUUAGUCUUAAUUGGCAUUAUAUAUAUAUUUUUUUCUUUUACCAAAGGGAGAGAGAGAAGGACAGAGGAGGCCUUGAGCAUAGGGGAUCAAGGCGGCUGCCUAGGGUCUCCAAAUUAGGAGGCUCCCAACCUCUAUAUAUGCAUACAUUUGGUACUUUAAAAAAAUUGUACUAUAUUAAUAUUAUGUUAGACCCAAGUAUUGUAAAAUAUAUAUAUAUAUCUCUAUUAUUCGCUGUAAAAUUAAAAUGAGAAAUUCAAUAAACGGCCCAUUAUUAUCUAAACUUAUAGCUUAAGUCAAUAAUGACAAAUUUUUAUAUAAAAAUGUUAACCUAGUUGAAUAAGGUAAGAAAUAAAAUACAAGGAUGAUUUAUUUAAAAGUUCCUAUAGCUAAGCAUAUAUACGUUACCUUUAUAUAUGUUACAGAAUGUGACUCAAGAAUGACUAUUUAAUAGCUAUGAUUUCAAUCAUAUCAUACAACACAAAAUUCUGCCUUAUCUAUUUAAUGAACAUUUGUUUGUGAGUCUUUAUAAAGACACCUAUUUAAUGUAAUCAGCACUAAAAUAGUGGCCUUAUAACUAAUUAACACAAUCUAGCUAGCUCGACCAGAAAGAGAUAUUUAUAUCACGAUCCCAAGCAUGAAACAAGUUGCUCUUAUCAACUGACGCAUCCAUGUUUAGCCCAUCAAAUUAGACAAUUUGUCGGCAUGAAAGAGUUCCACACAAAAUUGUCGUUCCAGCUAAAAUCCAUGAAAUUGUCAUUAGUCUUAAUUGGCAUUAUAUAUAUAUAUAUAUUUCUUUUACCAAAGGGAGAGAGAGAGAGAGAGGGACAGAGGAGGCCUUGAGCAUAGGCGAUCAAGGCAGCUGCCUAGGGUCUCCAAAUUAGGAGGCUCCCAACCUCUAUAUAUGCAUACAUUUGGUACUUUAAAAAAAUUGUACUAUAUUAAUAUUAUGUUAGACCCAAGUAUUGUAAAAAAAAUAUAUAUAUAUAUAUCCCUAUUAUUCGCUGUAAAAUUAAAAUGAGAAAUUCAAUAAACGGCCCAUUAUUAUCUAAACUUAUAGCUUAAGUCAAUAAUGACAAAUUUUAAUAUAAAAAAGUUAACCUAGUUGAAUAAGGUAAGAAAUAAAAUACAAGGAUGAUUUAUUUAAAAGUUCCUAUAGCUAAGCAUAUAUCACUUGAGUUGAGGUUUUGACAAAAGAAAAAAAAAACAAGCAAUUGAAGAAAGAUUGAAUGGCUUAGCUAUGUAAUCCAUUGAAAAAGACAUGGUAGAAAAUUUUGAUUAUGUAAAGUUAAUUGAUACUUUUACAUCCAAAAAUGCAAGAUGAGUGAUAUUUAAGUAAUGUUUUGAUGCAUUUUAUAAAAUUGUUAUGUGAUUACAUAUUGUUUGUUUAUUUUUCAGAUUACAAUUGUGACUUUGAGUUUGUAUAAUUUUUUUUUAAUAUUAUCGGAAAAAAAUCACAUAAACAUAUACAAAUAGUAGAAAGGCCACAUUUUGGUAAUUCAUUUUGGGCCUCUAAAACAUUAGGACCGCCGCUGGAGAGAGGGAGGGUUCUAUUUUCAUCAUAUAUUUUUGGACCAAAUUGAGGGCGAUGUAUAAUUCUUUUGCUUAUAGUUUUGGGUUUCCUCUGUUUGGUGCUGAUGAGGACCCAUGGGCCAUGUCCCUAUAAUUAUUAUGUUCUCAGUACAUGUAUACUGUGCCUCCUACUAGCUAGUCGAUGAUGAAAGAUCACCACCUUCUGCUGUUUAUAGCUAACUAGGACAUCAUCAAACGUAUGCUGCAUUCAUGGUAAGUAUAAGCUUUUGAGGUAAGAAACCUAACAACAGGCAAAACAUGCACACCUAUCUUGGGCUUGAAAUGUACUGAUCGUAGACUCCGAGGAGGGACUUAUUUUGGUCCCACAAUAUAUACUGCUAUAUAUUUAUACUUUCGUCUUUUUUCAGUUAUAAAAUGGAGUGUAAGUGGAUAAAAUUGGAGUGGGGAAAUCACCAUUCUUUAUAUAUAGUAUUAAUGUUAUACGAUAAGGUCCUCCUAUCACACAUGCUACUUUGUCCAAUUUUAUUUUUUUGGGGUCAAAGUUUGAAAUGGGAAGAUGGGAGGUGUUAUUGAGGUUUGAUUAUGAGACCAAUUUUAAAUCCGUUUAAUGUAUAUGGAAUAUAUGCAUGGAUUCUAGGGAUUUAUUAAUUAAUUAUAUAUUAUUCACUAUAGUGUGACGAAUAAUUUUUCAAUUAUGAAGACAACCCUUAUGUAGGGCCGGCCAUGGGCCUGGGAAAUUAGAGUUCAGCGCCGGCCCUCCAAAAAGAUAAUAGGUUCAUUAUUAAUUACAUGUUGUCAAUCAUAAAAUAGUUUGUAUUUGUUAUUUUAGUUUAAUUAAACUAUUAUAUUUUAGUAAAAAUGAAAAUACACGUGUAGAAUUUUUUUUUCUUGUUAAACUAUGAUUACAUACAAAGAGAAAUUAAGUGUCUUAUUUUAAUUUCUGGCCCUGAACCACUCAAAAGUCUAGAUUGACCUUGACCUUAUGGGACGAAAUUGAAAAAUGAGAAAACUCAACUCCUCAUUAAAGUUGGGCAGUUGACUAGUGGAUGUUAAAGUAGUAGUUUCUCAUGUAGCACGAAACGCCAUAAGAUUUUUCUUUGUUUUUUUGGUAUAAAUUGUGUUGAAGGUCAACAAAAAGAAAUCUCAUAUAAACAAAACUCAACACAAAUCUUCAAAUAAAAGAUAGCCCAUAAAAGCAGGGAAACCUCAUAAGAAAUUUUUUUUUUCCCAAGCAUUUAUUAUGUAUAGUACAUGUGUCAUUUCCAUAAGUCUUAACCCAAGUCAGAUGAGAUUAAUUAGCAUGGAUCCCCUUGUACUAUUCACCAAAAGAGAUUGCAUGCGAGUCCAACCAUAGAUUUUGUUAUUUUUUGGGACAUCAAUAAAAGAUUUUCCUUACAAAAAUCAAUGAAAUCAUAAAUCAUUUAACUAGGGUCGUUUUUGACUUUUGAGUGAUGCAUGGGCAAAAAUGAGGCCCUUUUCCCUUAAUUAUAGUUUAACAAGAAACAAAAUUUAUUUUGCACAUGUAUGCAUUUUCUUUUUGGCUUAAUUAUGGUAAUUCUAUCAAACUAAAAUAACAAAGAACAUGAAUCAUAAAACAUAAAAAGCUAAUAAUUUGUAUUUUUUUUAGUACAAGCGAUAGUUUUAACUACAUGAGAGGAAAUUUCUCACACACACAACCAAGAUGUCAUGGGAUUUAAACCUCAGACCUCUAGUCUGCAAGUCAAAAUCCUUUUUCAUAGAGUUAGACCCCAUUGGCAACCAUCAAUUUAUUGAGAACAAAAAAAAUUAUCAAACUAGAAGAACUAAACAUUUUCUUAAAGAGCAGACACGGGCGUAGCCAAGUUUGUUAGAACGAAUGUGCUCCCCACUCUGCACCCUAAUUCGAAUUCCCCUUUCGUAGUUUAGAUUAAUUUAAAGUAGAAUAUCGCUUAUAUAAAAUAAAUAAAUAAAAACAUUUUCUUGAAAGUGUUUGAUUAAUUGAAUCUUUAUUAUUACAAAACAAAAAAAUAAAAUUUUAAUGUUUAAUUGCAAAUGUAGGGCCCUUGUAUUGUUAAAUUUUUAAAAUGAUUGUUAUUUGGGCCCUUGUAUUUUAAAACUCUCAAGAAAAUCCAUUUAAUAUGGCCUUGAACAAUUAUAAUAUACAUAUAUAUAAGUGUUCCUCCGUUUUAUGUUCGUUCUUGUGAUGGUAGGGUAAAGUUUCUCAUUGCCUUGAAAACCAUUGACUGGUCAACAAGUCAACUUUCUUUAGUGUGCUAGCGUACCACUGCUAGCAAUGAGAAUUCUAGCAGAUUUCUUAAAAAUAGAUUACUUGCGCCAUAAGUUACUGAUUUCUAAACAAGCGAUUGUGAAUUUGGGUGAGGAAUAUCUCCCAAAUAAGUUUUUUUCUUGCCUCAGACUGGUGAGGACUUUCACAAUUUUUCUCAGUACAAAACUGGCAGUUCUGGCAAGAAUAAAUGAUAAGAUAACGAACUGUUUUUUAGGCAGAAGUGCCUUUUACAAAACUCAAAAGGAAAGACCAACUCUAGAAAGACAAAAAGAGGGAUGAACUUCCAUUUCUUCCUGGAUAGAUGCUUUUGAUCCGGGCUGGACUAGGUAUACCUAUGCUGGACUAGACUAUCAACACCUUCAACUGUCAAGUUUCAGCUGUAAAUCAAUAUCACUGUUCGAGUUUGGCAGAGCUUUAAUCUAUUUCAAGCCCUGGAAGGCUUUUUGAAUGGGCAGAAUUGGAACCUCUUCAGUCUGGAAGGGGCAGAAGUGGCUAGACUUGAUGAUUACUGAGUUGGAACUGCACUGUAGUACUUGUUCUACUUGAUCAGGGCUCUCCAUAAAUUUGUUGAGGUUUUCAUAUUUGUAAAACCCGAACUCUGCUUGAUUUGGCUUAUGCUGGACCAAAUUUGUAACCAGAGAAAACUCGUUUUGAAUGACUUAUUUCUCUAAGUCUGAACUAGAGUUGGAAAUUUGAUUUGUAGCUGGCUUCUUUCUUGUGGCUCAAUGAGCUUUUGGUUGCUUUAGUGUUUUGAAGGUUUUUGAGAUCAAGUGAUCAUUUUGAGUUUUUGCUUUGGAUUGAUUUUUUAGUUGUCCUUUGAUCUGUUCACCUCCUCUCAUAUUUAUAGAAAAUGCUAGAGUGGGAUUUUAAUAAAAAAAAAAUGGGCAGCAUAUUUUCUAAAAACGAGAUCUUUUCUUUUCAAAGCCAUAAAAGAAGGAAGUUAUUGUUCUGGCAGAGAAGAACUAUUAGUAGUCAGUUUUCAUGGAGGUCUUUUCCUUGCUUUUCUGAAAGAAAAACCAACUCUUCUUUGUUCUCUGUUUGUUCUUGGUAAGGAGAAAGAACACAAUCUGACGUGAUGGUCAUUUUGCUUUUCUUGUUUGAACAACUCUCUUGCUUACCACUUAUCUUUUGAGAUCGUAAUUUGCUUAUCUCUUGGAAAGAUCACCUGCUCUGAUGCAGAAUUAUAUACAAAAAGAUUCUGAUCUUAGGAUAUACGUAAUUUCACUGUUUUGUCACUCAAUAUUGUAUAUAACACGAACAACCUAUGCACGGUUUUGUCACUUUAUCUUAAAUUACAUCCAAACUCACCUUGUUAGCUCUAGAAUAUCAACUUGUUAGGUCUGGAAUAUCGAACCCUAAAAAAUACAUGAGCUGUUCUUAAUGAAUGCUUGAAAUUUUGAGUGUAUAUCUAUAUUUUUUUUAUCAACAAAAGAAGAAAUUUCCUUCAACAUAUAAGCACAACUUGUUAGCUCUUGAUCAUAUCAAUCCUCUAUUUUUUUUAUAAAAAAAAUAUUAACAAUAGAGAAAAAGAUUGAAACUCGAAACUCCAAAGUACCAAAACACCAAUGGUUUGUUUACUAAUUGUUCUCGCUAAAUCUAAACAGAUAGAAGUAAAGCUAAUUUACAAGCGAUGUGGAUGGUUUGGACCCAAGAAGCCUUCGGUCUGUGGUGUUCCUUCCUUAAGGCAUGAUGCUGGAUGCGGUCUGGGGAAAGGAACGGUAGGUUAAGUCUUAAGACACCGGUGUGGCACCGGCCGAAGACCCUCUGAUGCAAAGUUAGCGACCAAGAGCAAUUCUAUUGACAGUGUAAAAGCACAAGUCAAGUAAACAGUCUUACCUUUUAGAUGAGCCAGUGGGCUCUAUUUAUAGAGAGCAUUUAGGAUCCUCUUAGUACUUAGUUUUGAUGUGGGACUCGUGGGAGUGUCUUCGACGGUUGACACGUGCUCUGACAGGUUAUGGCGAGAGUUCCGAGGCAAUCUGUCAGAAUCGGCCUGAUUGGUCGAUCGGCAUGGGAUGCCGAAGAUUGGUGUAGGUGAGUCAGUCGUUAGCAUUUACUACUUUUAACGACCGUGUAUGAAUCGGUGAUGUGUGCCGAUUGACUGUUUCGGCAUGGCUCACCGAGUUGGUCUUUAGCUUCGUUCACAUUCCACGUGUCAUGACGUAAGUGGGGGGGUCAGAUAUGGUACAAACACUAAUCAAGAAUUAUAAUUCUCCUGAGGAAUUGAAUUCCACAUAGGGAGAAUUCAUGCGUUUAUUUCACAUCAAGAAAUUAAAAAGUAAGCGGGACCCACACAAAAUUAGGAAUUGAAUUCCUGAUUUUGGAGGAAUUCAAUUCUUGGGUGAGAUAUGGUAUUCUAAUUCCUGGAGAACUAACCCAUUAGGAAUUCAUCUUUUUUAUCCAUUAUAUCCUCACUUGAUUUUGAAAAUUACAAAUUUCUCAUCUACUUUAUCCCAACAACAAGGACAUUUUAGUAAUUAGUACCACUCCUAUCCCAAUUCUAUAUGGUUUAGUAAAUAACUUCGAUAGGAAUCCGAAAUCUAAUUCUCCUCAAUCCAUAUGAUUUAGUAAACAACUUCAAUAGGAAUCCAAAAUCUAAUUCUCUUCAAUUCAACUCCUCUUUAAUUCAAUUCAUACUGAAUUUAAUUACUCAUAAUCCGUACGGAUUAGUAAACUGCUACAAAUCUAAUUUUUGAGUAAUGAAUUUUUUUUUUUCUUUUUUGAAGGAAUAUUUGGGUAAGUAACCUAAAAACAAAAGUAUUGCAUAAGCAAAACCUUUCGAAGUAUAUAAAAAUGUGUGAUAUUUUGGGUAUUAUCAAACUUUGUGCAUGCACCCCAACCCUGCAAUUCGUGUGUUUCGCUUUCUUUAUGUGAAACGAUGCACCGACUCACUGCCAUGGCACAUGAGCACGUGACACCUUAAUCUCCAUUAUUCUUUCUCUCAACUUUCGUUACUUACUAAUUUUCUAUGUACAACUCUGCAAAGCGCGAGCCGAGCACCUUCUCAAAAUUUCCACAGGGCCAUCGUUUUCUAUGAAAGACAAUAUUACCCAUGCCAUGCAUGUCUCAUUCAUUCUACAAAUAUUCUUAAAACACUAUUAUUUGAGUUGGUUGCAACAUUCAUUUUGUCAAAAACUAGUUUGGAUUUUCUAGUACUUAAAUUGGAUUACAUUGUUAAUCAUAAUAAAAUUGGAUUACAUUUGAGUCGAGCUAAUUAAAAAAAUAAAAUUGUUGGAGUUUAUCGUUUGUGAAUUGAAGGACGCCAACUGGUCCGUAGCUCAGUAGUAAAAGCAUGUAGUGUUGAAGAAUAUAAGUUCCAUAUCGAAAACUUGACUAAAUAAAAUAAAAUAUAUAAUGAAUAGUUCCACUACUAAUAUUACCGAGGCCUUUUGUAAUAAAACUCCACACCUACUGGACUUUGUAGGUGGUUAAGUUGGGGACAAUAUCAGUGUUGUUAGUAGUGGGCUGCUGGCCCGUCUCUCUGAAUUAAACAUGGUGUCAGAGCGGGUUGAUUGACUGGGCCUAAAUUGGGCCUUCGCCCUUACCCAAUAUGGUGUUCAUAUGUUGGGCUUGAAUGUUUACCCCUAUCCCUUACCCAAUACGUGGUGUUCACGCGUUGGGCUUGAAUGAUUGACUCCGAUGUGAACUUGGCUCCACGUGUGGCUCACUAUGUAGUAGUCCCACGUGAGGGGGCGUGUUGAAGAAUAUAAGUCCCACAUUGGAAACUUGGCUAAAUAAAAUACAAUAUAUAAUGAAGGGUUCCACUACUAAUAUUACCGAGGCAUUUUGUAAUAAAACUCCACACAUACUGGACUUUGUAGGUAGUUAAGUUGGGGACAAUAUUAGUGUUGUUAGUAGUGGGCCGUUGACCGGUCUCUCUGACUUAAACGUGGUAUCAGAGCAUAUCUGAAUAUUUACCAUACUUUGUUUUACUUGGUAUCAGAGCCAGGUUUUCUUGUGACCUGUGCUUGUGGUAUCCAUGAAAUUAAAGUACUCUCCUCCCCUCCUCUUCAAGGAGGGAAGGGGGAGUGAAAGGGAUAUGUUUAUUGAUGUAUCCUAAUUACCUUGGCGUAUUCCCAUGAAGAUGUUGCUUAUUUCUUGCCUCCGACGACCCAUUCUCUUCAGAGGGAGAGGAGGAUUGAAGAGAAGUUGUGUCUGUGUAAAUUAGCUAAAGUUUAUAUGGAAGAAUUUAUUGUUGCCAUUGCCGUUACUGCCACUGUUGAUAUCGUCGUUGAUGUUACCAUUGCUACUAUUGUUGCCAUUGAUGUUGACUUUGUUUGCUUCAUUUUCCGUUGUUAUGGUCAUUGUCGAUGAUGUUGCUGUGUUUUGAUCUGUCUCUAUCCUAACCAUAAACACUACCUAUUUCCGCUGCACUAUACACCUAACCUAUAAUCCUAGCCCGCCGCCGCCGUCUACCUUGCUACUAUCUCCACUGCCUUACCUUCUGCCGUGUUCACAGGGUUUCUGUGUUCUGCCUUAUCUACUGCCGUGCUCAUAGAGCUUCUGUGUUCUGCUUUAACUAUUGUCGUGCUCACAUGAUUUCUAUGUUCUGCCUUACCUACUACCAUGCUUACAGGGUUUCUGUGUUCUGCUUUUAUGUGUUCUUCUGUGUGCCCUAUUUAUUAGGGUUUUUAUGACAAGGCCUUCUUUACAGUUGUUCAAUUGGUCAAUGUCGAGUACGGUGUUCUAUGACUCGCUUGUCAAGUUGGGCAUGCGAAAUAUCUUUGCCCCAACUUGAGGGGAAGUGUUGGCGAGUCAUUUCUUAGUUAGGAUUUUCGUUCCUUACUAUGUUAGGAUUUUGGUUACUUAUUCAUUUAUCUAGUCCUAUUAUCAUUGAGAUUUAUUUCUGUUUGGGCCAAAAUCCUGCGCACCCAGCCCAACACCAAAGAGCCCAGAAUAAAGCCACAUGACCCAAGCAGUAUGGGCUUUGCAAAAAUAAACGACGAAUCGAGGGCCCAAAAUCCAAAAAAGCCCAGCCCGUGAUCUGUCGAAACCACGACAAUAAACUUGGGCUUCGAAAAAGAAGAAAAGAAAGAAAUCAGCCCAUAGCUCAACUCAAAUUGGGCUUAAAGAGAAGAAAGGCCCAUGUCUUCUACAAAGUGGCAGAGUUGUAAAAAAACGUCAAAUCAAAUGGCAACUGACCACUAAAGCAGAUUAAUAAAAAUCUAAAGAUGAAUUGGUUUGGGCACAGCUUCUAAAUGCUCACCAUUGAUCUCAAAACCCAGAUUACAAAGUCAGCAGAUCUUUUUGAAAAACCUAUUCUCAAAACCCACGUGACUACUUGACUUUGAAAAGUCAACAAUUUCAACUAUCACAAAAAAGUUUAUUGAGAAUUAAUGAAAGCAGGUCAUUUGCAAAAAGACUUGUCUGAGAAUUUACAGCUAAAAGAUCAGAAUCCCUUUCUAAAUAAUUCUGCAUCAGAAUAGGUGGUCUUUCAAAGAGAUAAGCAGACUAUGUUUUCAAGAGAUAAGUAGAGGGAGUUGUUCAAAACAAGAAAAGCAAAUUGACCAUCAUGGCAGAUUGUUUUCUUUCUCUCUCUACAAGGAACAACGAGGAACAAAGAAAAGUUGGUUUUUCUUUAAGAAAAAAUAGGAAAAGACCUUCAUGAAAACUGAUUAUUGAUGGUACUUCUCUGCCAGAACAGAUAAUUUCCCGUUUUCUUUGAUAUUUAAUAAAUGAAAAGAUCUUGAUUUUUAGAGGAUCUGCCGCCCAUUAUUAAAAAAUUAGAAUUCCCACUCCAGCAUUUCCUAUAAAACUAAGAGAAGGUGAACAGAACAAGGGACAACCAAAAAAUCAAUCAAAGACAAAAACUCAAAAUGAUCACUUGAUCUCAAAGAACCUUAAAACAAACUGAAGCAACCAAAAGCUGAUCGAGCAACAAGAGAGAAGCCAACUACAAAUCAAAACUUCAAGUUUCAGACUUAGAGAAAUAAGUCAUUCAAAAUGAGAUUUCUCUCGUUAUAAAUUUGGUUCAGCAAAAGCCAGAUCAAGCAGAGUAUGAGUUUUUACAAAUAUGAAAACCUCAACAAAUUUAUGGAACUGAUCAAGCAGAACAGCCACCACAGUGCAGUUUCAGCUCAGUAAUCCUCAAGUCCAGCCAUUUCUGCCCCUUUCAGACUGAAGAGGCCUCAAUUCUACCCGUUCAAAAAGCCUUCCAGAGCUUGAAAUAGAUUAAAACUCUGCCAAACUCGAACGUUGGUAUCGAUUUACAGCUAAAGCAUAGCAGUUGAAGUUGUUGACACUCCAGUCCAGCCCAUCUCGGAUCAGAAGCAUAUAUCCAUGCAAAAAUAGAAGUCCAAUCUUCUUUUUAUUUUUCUAGAGUUGGGUUUUCCCUUUUGAGUUUUGUAAAAGGCAGUUUUGCCUAAAAACCAUUCGUUUUCUCAUAAUUUAUUCUGGCAGAACUACCAGUUUUAUACUGUGAAAAAUUGUAAAAUCAUCACCAGUCUGAGGCAAGAGAAGAACUUACUUGGGAGAUAUUUCUCACCAAAUUCACAAUCGCUUAUUUAGAAGUCAGUAACUUGGGGCGCAAGUUAUCUAUUUUUAAAAGUAUGUUAUAAUUUUCAUUGCUAACAGUUGCACGCUCACACACUAAAGAAAGUUGACUUGUUGACCUGUCAAUGGUUCUCAAGGCAAUGGAAAACUUUACCCUACCAUCACAGGAACAAACACAAAACGGGUGAACAAUUUCCUAUUGUAAUUUAUAUUUAUUUUCUAUUAUAAUUUGGAUUUAUUUCCUAUUUUAUUUAGGGUUGUACUUCUCUAUAAAUACCUCCAUAUUGGAGAGAAUAAAAUAUGAGUGAAUAUGAGCAUAUCCGAAUAUUUACCCUACUUUAUUUGACUUUUAAUUACAAAUUCGUGAUCUCAAAUUCGAACCUCGUUCACACUUCUCCUCUACCUUUCAAAUUUUGAACAAAUAAAAAGAAUUGAAGGGGCAAAUUUGAAGUUUUGAUCACCGUAGUCAUGAAGUUAGGUGAGGCAAGUAGCAAGAGGAGAGUGCUCAAAUGGUAUAAGCCAUUUGGAUACUCAUGACCGUACAAUAUUUAAUUAUGAUUAGACUAGGUGUUUUGUCCUUGCAAACUGACAUAACAACAAUAUCAUAUUGUCUUAAAAUAUUAAUCCAAAUCUAACCAUCAGUAUCCACCUUAUCACCUUUGACUGGUAAAGAUUCUGUGCCAUCCCAAUUGUUUUAGUUAUCUUUCAUCUUCGAUAUUCGAGAAUUAUCGAGCUCAAAUGGGUAACUGGGGCAAGAAAUAGGUUUUUUAUAGUUGGACUGAUGUGCAUCAACCUAGUCCUCUCAUUUCUUAACAAUUAAAUUUUAGAAUGUAAUAAUUGUUUAACAUAAUAUCUAUAUUUUCGUUUUAGAAGGUCCGAGUCGGAAUUUCCAAUUUAUAUUAACGUUAUGUUUGUUUAGCUUUUAAUACAAAUGAAAUAAAUAAUAUUUUAAAAUACAAAUGAUAAUUUAAAAGAAUUCGAAAUUGAAAUCUCUAAUAUGAAAGAAAGUCUUUUUUUUAUUCGACUAGAUCUGUUGACAUGAGAUGAAUGAUAUUAGCUAUGUAUAGCACGGUUAUUUAAAACUUUUUUAAAGUCCAAUGAUUAUUUAAGAAUUAAGAAAUACUUGCUAUGUACCACAAUUCAACAAGCAAGCGAUGAGGGGAGAAAAAAUAUUGGUGGGUUGUCCUUUUCAUGUCCAAAUGCACUGCUAACUGUCAAAGUCCAGCUUCAAGGCACAAUUAGGAAGCCAAAUGUUGGUGAAAAUGAAACUUUUCCCAAACACAAAGUUCAAUUAUACUAUUCAGCAUUCAAAAUUUACCGAUAUUUGCUGCUUAAUCAGUGGCUUAAAGUGGAAUUGCAUGGCAGCAAAACCAUUUAUGAUGUCUGUUCACCACUCAAAAAAAUUAACUUUUUGAAAUAUUUUUAGCAAAGGGUUUGUACUAAAUAAUUUUUCUUGCUUUUAUUUUUUGUUGUUGUUGUCUAUUGUGCAGUUAAUUUCAACACCACUGUUAAUGGUGCAAUCAUAGGCCUAUAAUUUUGACAUAAUACAAGGAAAGCAAGAUAUGAUGCUGAAAUGUAGUUGGCUAAAACAGCAUCAUCUAACAGUAAAAAGAUUAUUACGACCAAAGGCAAACCAAAACCCCCCCAAAAAAAAUAAAAAUUAAAGGAACACAAAAAUGGGUUGUUGGGGGAGCUCAGCAGUUUGACUGGCUCAUUCAUCCGGAGGGUUAAACAGCAUCAGCAUGCAUGGUAAAUAUUAUGCCAAAUUCAGCGGAAAAACUUGUAUGAAGGAGUUUUGCUAUUUUCGAUCAAUUACAGACUGUCAUAUAAAAAAAUAAUCACGUGUAACAUACUGUAAUUAGCCGCAAAUAUCAAAAUAGUUAUAUUUCCAUUUUAUGCAAGUGUAUCUCUAAAUUCAGACGGAAAAUCCAACACCUAAACUGCAAUGCUAAGAAAAGGGCAAAAUGGUAAUUCUAUUAUAAUCUCUUACUUUACUGUUCUGCUUUUGCAAGAGACAGAGAGCAAGGACAAAGGCUGACCCCACUGUUUAUAUUUUCCAAGGCUUAAAUACUUACAAGACCCAAAACCCCCCACUUUCCACUCUUCCGCUGCUUUUUUUUUUUUUUACCUCAUCUCUGUCAUGAAAUACCAAAACUGACUACUUGGGACAAACAAAACAAGAGUAGUAAAGAAAGACAAGGUUGCUAAACAAAAAUAAAAAAUAGAAAUCAAACACAGAGAGAGAGAGAGGAGAGAGAGAGAGAGAGAUGAAUAAAGGGUGUGCUUUGUGGUGGUUGAGCAAUGUGCAGGUGCCAAAGAAGAUAGAAAAUUUAAGCUUAGUUUGAAUGAGAAGUAAGCAGGCUAGCAGAGAUAGAUAAAUAAAUAGAAAGAAUGAAAGAGAAAAAAGAAGAAAGGGAGGUGGUGGUCUUAAAAUUGGACAAGUGAAAGAGGCAAAAAAAGAAAAUAAAAGUCAUAGAAAAGAGAAAGAGAUAGAGAUUGAGAUGGUGGGCUCAGGAGCAACAGAUAGGAGCAAAGAAGCUGUUGGGAUGAUGGCCCUCCAUGAGGCCCUCAGAAGCGUUUGUCUCAACACAGACUGGACUUACUCUGUCUUCUGGACCAUCCGUCCACGCCCGUAUGUCUCUCCUCUCUCUUUUCUCUUAAAGUUCUCUUCUUCUCUGUCUCUCUACACUUGAUCUGAUGUUUAGCUCUGGAUGCCUUGAUUUCUAGCUGUUUUCUUUUCUGGGUUUAAUUCAUUAAUUUGUUUUGUUGCAGGAGAGUCAGAGGAGGUAAUGGCUGCAAGGUUGGGGAUGACAAUGGCAGUUUGUAAGUAUAUAAUAUAUGGUUGCUUAUGUAAAAUGGGAAUAAACUUUAUUUGAACUACUAACCUCAACUUGGUUAGCUAUGCAAUUCAAUUUUGCUCUGUUUUCUCUCUGCUUCUCUAAGGAACAGGGUGAAAGCCAGAGGAGCUGACUAGGAAUCUUAUUUUUUUAUAUGAACAUGAGUUUUUAGAAAUGGGUUUUUGGUAAUUUUGUGAUUUUAGUGUUGUUUAUGAAAUUUGGUGAAGGAUGUUGAUGUGGGAAGAUGGGUUUUGUCGAGGAAGAGUUUCAUCAGAUUGUCUUGAAGAUAUUGACGGAGAAGAUCCUGUCAGGAAAGCCUUCAGCAAAAUGUCCAUUCAGCUGUAUAAUUAUGGAGAAGGGUGGGUACUUGGUAUGUGUUUUUUUGUUAUGGCUUCUUCUCCUCUCUCUCUCUCUCUCUCUCUCUCUACCUACACUACAUGACAAUCUUGCAGGACAUAAAAUAUGGUUUUUUUUUUUGGUUAUGGGAAAUAAGUUCUUCUUGUAUUUGUGCUGUCAUUGGUUGCACUGAAUUCAACACAGGUUGAUGGGGAAGGUUGCAUCUGAUAAGUGCCACAAAUGGGUUUUCAAAGAACCUACAGAGUGUGAACCAAACAUCUCCAACUACUGGCAAAGUUCUUUUGAUGCUGUAUGUAAUAAAAGCCAGUCUUUUUUCUCCCUUUCACCUAUAUAUUUGUCAAAGUAGACAAGCUGGAAUUAGCACAAGUUUGUGCUUAGCUAGCACAUAUUAAUGACUGAUAGUAACCUUUUUUAUGCUAUUUAUUGCAGCUUCCUCCUGAAUGGACUGAUCAGUUUGAGUCAGGCAUUCAGGUCAGAACAGAAACAUUUACUGCUUCAAUUAUUGGUCUCAUUAUUUUGGUGUAAUUUUUUUUUUGAACAGUUAAUUUAUUUUACCAGACAAUUGCUGUAAUUCAAGCUGGUCAUGGUCUUCUGCAGUUGGGCUCCUGCAAGAUUGUGAGAUAUAUAUAUAUAUAUAUAUAUCUUUUUUUUCUUUUCCCAUUAAUAUUUGCUUUAAUGCUGCAAAUUCACACUAACACAAGGACAUGCACAAUAUGUAUAUCAGAUACCAGAAGAUCUUCACUUUGUGCUAAGAAUGAGGCAUACCUUUGAGUCUCUAGGCUACCAAUCUGGUUUUUACCUCUCCCAACUAUUUUCCUCUACCAGAAACAACUCUGCCUCAUCAGUGCUUCCUUCAAAGCAGUCCCCAAUUCCGAUCCGGCCUCCUCCUCCUCUCUUCAAUUGGGCUCAAAGGCCUCUUCCAUCUGCAACAGCUAUGCAGCUGCCUUCACCCAACAGUUUUCAGAACUCUGCAGCCAGACUUGGAUACAAUCCACAAGCCAAUAAAGAUGAGACACACAUGUUUUUGCUGCCUCAUUCAGCCGAAACACAAAUGGGAGGAGACAUGAUGGGAGGAGGAGGAGGAGGAGGAGAGCAUGAAAAUGACAUCAAAUGGCCAAAUGGAUUGUCUUUCUUCAAUGCCCUCACGGGACGUUCCGAUGAUGCAAAGCUUUUGUUCAAUCCGGAGAACUUGGGAAACAAAGGUGGAGACGAAAAUCACCACCACAACCCGAAUCCAAACUCAGAUCGUGCUUCGAAUCACAACGAGUUUUUGAGCUUGGAUUGCCACCCGGAUAGUAGUGCAAGGAAGAACAUGGAGAACAAGUACAAGAGGAGCUUUACUUUGCCUGCAAGAAUGGCUUCAUCGUCUUCAAACUCAGUUGAUCACCAUCAGCACCAAUCUGUGGGGUAUCGAAAUGCCGAAGCUGGUAUGUACUCUGAUGUUAUGGAGACCUUCUUGGAGUGAAAUGGGAAGGGAAGAUUGUAUUAGAGGGACAAUGGGUGAGGAGUUGUAUGUAAGCAAAGCUUUUGAGCUCCUUUGCUGCUUAUUACUUCUGUGAUCGAUUUCAUGUUCUAGCUCUUUAUAUGUUUAUGUGUUUUCAUCCCAGUUAGUGAGACUUAAUUAGAGAUCAUUUUGUACUUGUAGUUCAUCCCAAGAAGAAUUUCCCUCCAUUCUUUUGUUCUUCUAACUCUCACUAAGGUCAUGGAAUGUAAAAUAGAAAAUAAACAUAGAAGAAAAUCAACACAAGUUGGUUCAAGUAAUCAAAGCUUGUCCAAUUCCAGCAGUAAUGGGCUUGAAGAAAUUCAUUAUGCCCAAAAUGCUCAAGAAAAUAAAACUAUUUGAAUACACAGUUACAAAUACACAUGAUCACUGGGAGUCUCACAUCCAUUGUUUAGCUUUAUUGCUGGGAGAUACAGUCUUCAUCACACUUUUUGGAAAUCCAAUUUUGCUACCGAUUCUCUAGGUAGGGUUAUCUAUAAUAAGGAGUUGGGCCUCUACAUUCGUAUUCAUACUUGAGUGUAGGGUGGCGUGUUUAUUGACCUAGUCAACUGACCGAACAUGUCUAGACCUAGAGUUGUUGAAGCAUUUAUAAAGGCUAAGAUACUGGGGGAAAACUAUCGCUCUAUUUGAAAUUGGAUUUCAAUAGAGUCGUUGACAGAGUCUGUUCUUGAUCCGAUACUUCUGUUGGGUUAGUUAUAACUUAUAACUGAGGCCAUAUGUAUUAUUAUUAUUUUUUAAAAAAAAUAGACACUUUUGUAUCUACUUUUCCAAAUUAACAAGCGAUCACGACAAGCCUUGGCUUUUAGAUAAAGAUUUGGUUGACUGAUCACUAUUCAGUCAACCAACUAGUUUAUGUUUCCAAAGGAUUUAUGGAAGAAUAUCAUUGCCAUAUCAACAGCUUCAACUUCAAGAUUAAACGCUCGCUCUGAAGAAUUUGAAACAAUAACCGAACACAUUGUGACAAAAGCUCUAUUUUAACAAGCCAAAUUGCUUUUGCUGGUUAACGUUCCCAGAAUAUAUAUAUAUAUAUAUAUAUAUUUCCUUUUGCUUUUCUUCAAAGUUGAAAGUGAUCAAAAGCCAAAGCCAAAGCUAAAGUAUAAAGUCAGUUAUCUACUUUCAAAGCAAACCUCAAAAUCCUAACCUCAAACCCAUGAACAAAUUACAAAACUUGAUAAACAAGUUUAAAAAAAUCAUUUUUCACUUCACAUUUAUCAAUUCGCAGCUUUAAUUAAUUACAUAAUCACUACUUUUGUUGGACGGUUCCAUUGCGUUACACUUUCUGCAGGUCCAAACAAGCCACCGGAAAAACCUCCGGCCAAAACUCCGGGGGACCACCACCGUCUUCACCCGGACUCUUCCCUUCCCUUUGAUGGGUUUCUCCUUCCCUUCAAGCUGAUCCACUUUCGCCUUCUUCCGAGAAUUGUCACCGCUUAAAGAAGCCGGUACAGGCACAGCUGUUAUGAAUUGCCAUCUCUGAGAAGAACCAUAAACUUGUCCACCUCCGAGAUUAUUAGCUCUGUUUCCUUUGUAUCUAUCUGAUCAAGCUCUAGAACCCAAUUUGUUUUGGUGCACCAAUUUCCUCUCAGAGUUGUCGCUUGAGCUUGUCCUUGCGCUGCUGCUGCAGCUGCUGCUCCUGCUGUUGGUGCUGUUGCUUCUUGAGGACAUGAGAGAGUCCUUGCUGCUAAUGCUGCUCAUCCGGCUUGUUCUCCGUAAAUUACUAUCGAAACCCAUAAAACCGUUGCUAAUUGGUUGACAUGGAAAGGCAUGUGGUAAGAGCCUGCCAUUGAAGAACAAAUGGUCUGCCGGGGAGUCUUUGCAGGGAUCAGUGCUGGAGGCUGAGUCAGGGGUAAAGCAUCCAAAUUCGAAAUCGGAGUCUUGCUAGUGGAUCGAAGUGCUUGGAAAGGAGAAUGUGUCGCCGGAGGUGCUCUUUUGCCGGCGGUUUUCCAUGGAUGGUUUUUUUAGGGAGAGAGAGGAGGUUGGUGUAUUUGCAUGGGGCAGGUUGUAUAUUUAUAAGAAGGUUUAAUUAGGGGUAGAAAAAAGUGAGGGAAAUUCGGGUUUCUUUUGAUAUGGGUGUGACACGUGGAAUGAUCUUGACCCUCUGUUGGGUGAGAUGGGCAAAGGUUUUGGUGGUGUGAAUGAUGAAGUCCUACUUGCCAACUCAGUAUUAAAUUCAAUACUUUUGGUGGUGUUAGGCCUCGACACUGUCCCAAUUGUUUGAUCAUUUUGGAGAGUUCGCUUGUUUAUUUAUUUUUAAUUCAGUGAAGUUGUGUUCUAUAGAAACAUAUUGUUGAUUACAUUGGGAGAAGGAAUUGUGUGGCUUUUUUAAUUUGUAUGUUUUUCUUGAAGUUGAGUUUUUACGUGAAAGAUUGUUAAGGUUGAGUAUUAAUUUGAAAUAAUCCCUAAAGAUGGAGUAUUAGAGAGAACUUUAUAGAAAUGUCCUACACAAGAAUGUCUAGGAGAAUUCAUCAAUUCAUUAGUUUAUCUUAUCUUUUUUUUCUUAAGUGAUACAUAAAUACUAUAUGUAUCAUCUCAACUUAUCAAUUACUUUUCCAUAUGACGUAUACAUCUCGCAUAUGUUCAAUCGAAAAUGGUACAAAUAGUUUCAUUCUACUUUCUUUUGUUAGACUCGGGAGUUUUCAUAUAAUUUCUUUCAAUACCAUCUUUUGUUAUUUAUUUAUAAAAACAAAACAGGUUUCAAUUCUGACUGGGAUUGCCAUGGGAAUUGGGGUUGGUAUUUCAGUACACGGAAAAUUUUGUGUAGCAACAAAGAAUUGGAUCUUUGCAACGCCAGAAAAUGGCCUGGGAUUUUUUACUAAUGUGGUGCUUCCUAUUUCUUGUCAAGACUUCCUGAAUUUUUUGGAGAGUAUUGUUGGAAGUUUGAAAGCAAAUGUCCCACAUUGGAGAAAACAAAAGGUUCCACGUAUGCUUUAUAAGCAUGAAACCGUAAUACCAAUUAAAUAAAGGUUGGUGGGCUGAUGGGCUUGGUAGUGAAGACUAUCAUGGUUAGCUUGCUUUAUUAAUACUAAUAUUUAAAUAAUCAAGACUUGGGCCUUGGGGUCUUGAGGUCUCUGAAAAAUAAAAGAACUAUACCCAGUCCGAAAAUAAAAUAAAUAUUUUUAUUUUUAUUUUUCAAAUUUCUUUUAGCAUAAGUUAAAUUCAAACCACAAAGACUAAUCUUUUUGUUUGAAUUUGAACAGGUAUAACUGAUACUAACUGCUCUUUUGAAGAGGUGUAAUUCUGUUAUAAAACCACAAGUCCUAGGGCAUAAUACGAUGAUCUUUUUUCUGAACUAUCUCAUACUAUUUUAAAAUUACCUACUGUAUUGGAGAGAAGCACACCAACGGUCGCCAAAAUUCAAGGAUCCGGUGCUGGACCCUUGAAUUAUAGAUAGUUGAAUCCUGGGAGAUAGACGCCUGCUGAACUUCAAGUACUGAGAAGAGGUGAAAUUCUGUCUUUAGGACAUUGCGAAUACGCAAGCUUCUAUCUUCAAUAAAAGUCAAUAUUCUGUACUUAAUUUAUAUUUGCACAUUUAUACAGAUUUCGUAUUUUGCUACUCUUUAUAUUUUAAGAGUUGUGUAAAUAUAUUUUUCCUAACAAGUAUUUGGGUCUCACAGACAGGUACCAGGUUGGAUGGUGCUGAAAUGCUUGCUUGUGGUAGCAACUCACUUUGUUCCCUCAGCCAAAUUGCCUCUACUGGAAAAAGCUCUGAUUUCCAGAGCAGCUUCAGCUACUUCCUCAAGCCUUGAUCUUGCUUUUAUUUCAGCAAUUAUAGAUGAACACUCCCUACAACAACCGGCCCUGAACUAGAAAAGUGCUCUUCACAAAAUGGAUGUUAUUGACAAGUGCUUUUCAUAAAAAAUGGAAAGUUAGGAGUAGGUUGUUCAUAAAAAAAAUAAAUAAAAAAGAAGUUUGCAGAAGGCUAAAAGACGAAAAUACUUUUCAUUUUAGAGAGAACUUAACAGAGAUUCCUACACAAGAAUGUCUAGGAGAAUUCAUCAAUUCAUUAGUUUGUCUUAUCUUCUUUUCCUUAAGUGUAUUGUUAGAUGAGCUAUGACAUAAUUAUCAUUAGUAGGCCUGAGUAGGCUAAAUUAAAAUUUUGAAUAAUAAAAUAACAACUCACCUAGGUUAUAGUCCAUGUUAGUCCCUUCUUGGGACCAUCCUUGCCUAUAUGUGGAGGAGGAUUAGUCCAAUCCCAAGUUCAGCUCUUCAUUAGUGGUCCAUUGUAAGUCUUUUCCUUUUGUAGGAACAAAAUAAAUAAAUAAAAAAUUACAGUUUGAUGUGUAGUAGAAUAUCGCAAUCUUAAGUUCAUCUCUUCAUUAUUCUCCUCUGGUCCAUUGUAAACCUUUUCUUUUCGUAUGAAAAAAAGCAAACAAAUCACAGUUUGAUGUGUUUGUAGAACAUCUCAAUCUUAAGUUCAUCUCUUCAUUAGUCUCCCCUGAUCCAUUGUAAACCUUUUCUUUUCGUAUGAAAAAACGCAAACAAAUCACAGUUUGAUGUGUUUGUAGAACAUCUCAAUCUUAAGUUCAUUUCUUCAUUAGUCUCCCUUGGUCCAUUGUAAACCUUUUCUUUUCGUAUGAAAAAAAGCAAACAAAUCACAGUUUUGAUGUGUUUGUAGAACAUCUCAAUCUUAAGUUCAACUAUUCAUUAGUCUCCCCUGGUCCAUUCUAAGCCUUCUCUUUUUGUAAGAAAAAAGAAAACAAAGAGUUCUUUCCUCUUAUGACCAAACCCCCGUUUAAAUUGUGCUUCAAGUUUAAAACACAAUUUAACCCCGUUUUGCUAUUUCUUUCUUUUCUUCACGUCUUUUCUAUGCCGCUUAUUUAUGGACGGAACACAAACAAAGGCAAGUGCGUGAACAAUUUUUUCUGCCAAGUCAAUUUAUGCAUUGAUGCUGGCCCAGCCUAGUACAAAGUUGUUCCUCCCCCCACCCACACCACAUGUGACAUGGGCUCAUACAAAGCAAAGUUGAUUACAACUAGGUUUUUGUUUCCAUUUUCAAUCAUUUAACAAUAUCUACACCGUCAAUUAAUUUUGGGCCGAAUUCUCAAAUUCUAUCAUAAUGUUUGUAUCAUUUUAAUUGUCAAUGUUUUAAAAAAUUCUGCCAAAAUAAAACAGUAAAAUAUUUUUCUGUUAUUUCUAUUGUAAGUUGAAAUGGUAUAAAUAGGUUUAUUUGUUUUCGAGGAAUCCGAUAAUAUAAUAUAUUGUAGGUCUAUAUCUUUCUUCUUCUUUUUUUUCUAAAAAGAAAAAAAGACAAAGACAGAAGCAUGCAAUAUGUAGAAGCUGUAAAUAGAAAAGAUAGUUUCGUGCUGGCACGAAACUAAGGGGCUCAUCCUUCUUUAAGUAGAAGGUAGGCCAGCUUUUUUUUUGAAAUAGCUUCCACAUAUUGCAUGCCCCAGUCACAGACUAGGUUAGGGCCAUCUGUAGUAAUAGUUUCAGCAAUAUCUGUACAGUCAAUUAAUUUUGGGUCGAAUUCUCAAAUUUCAUCAUAAUAUUUGUACUAUUUUAAUUAUCAAUAUUUUUUAAAAAUAAUAUGACAAAAUAAAAAGGUACAAAUAGUUUUAUGUUAUUUAUGUUGUACGUUGAAAUAGUAUGAGUAGUUUUAUUUGUUUUCGAGGAAAAUAUAUUGUGUCAAUUUUUUUUGGUUCGAAAAAGGGGAAAAAAAGAAGAUACGGACAUGCAAUAUGCAGAAACCAAAAGGCUGGCCUAACUUGUACUUAUAAAAAAGAUUGCCUUCCAAUUCCUCUACCUCUCAUCUUCUCAAUAAAAAGUUGCACCUAGGUUUCAAACUUUUAGUGCACUUAUCGACUUUAUUUCUAUACAAAUUGAUCAUUUCCAUGGCUUCUUUCCAACUUGAUGACCAGGUUCUGGUACAAGAGACUUUAUUCGUGAGGACAUUGAUCCUGAAUAGGCCUCGACACUGUCCCAAUUGUUUGAUCAUUUUGGAGAGUUUGUUUGUUUAUUUAUUUUUAAUUCAGUAAAGUUGUGUUCUAUAGAAACAGAUUGUUGAGUACACUGGGAGAAGGGAUUGUGUGGCUUUUAAUUUGUAUGUUUUUUCUGAAGUUGAGUUUCUACGUGCAAGAUUGUUAAGGUUGAGUAUUAAUUUGAAACGACCCCUAAAAAUGGAGUAUUAGAGAGAACUUUAUAGUUUGGGAUUUUUUCCUAAUGUGGGUGCUUCCUAUUUCUUGUCAAGACUUCCUGAAUUUUUUGGAGAGUAUUUGGGUCUCACAGGUGCCAGGUUGGAUGGUGCUAAAAUGCUUGCUUGUGGUUUAGCUACUCACUUUGUUCCCUCAGCCAAAUUGCCUCUACUGGAAAAAGCUCUGAUUUCCAGAGCAACUUCAGCUACUUCCUGAAGCUGUGAUCUUGCUUUUAUUUCAGCAAUUAUAGACGAACACUCCCUACAUCAACCGGCUCUGAACUAGAAAAGUGCUCUUCACAAAAUGGAUGUCAUUGACAAGUGCUUUUCAUUAAAAAUGGAAAGAUAGGAGUAGGUUGUUCAUAAAAAAUAAUAAUAAUAAAAUAAAUAUAAAUAAAAAGAAGUUCGCAGUGGGCUAAAAGACGGAAAUACUUUUCAUUUUAGAGAGAACUUUACAGAGAUGUCCUACGUAAGAAUGUCCAGGAGAAUUCAUCAAUUCAUUAGUUUGUCUUAUCUUCUUUUUCUUAAGGGUAUUGUUAAAUGAGCGAUGACAUAAUUAUCAUUAAUUGGCCUGAGUGGGCCAAUUAAAUUUUUGAAUAAUAAAAUAACAAUUCACAUAGGCUAUAGUCCAUGUUAGUCCCUUGUUGGGACCAUCCCUGCCUAUAUGUGGAGGAGGAUUAGUCCAAUCCUAAGUUCGGCUCUUCAUUAGUGGUCCAUUGCUUUUGUACGAAAAACACAAACAAAUGAACGUUUGACAUAUGUGUAAAACAUCUCAAUCUUAAGUUUAUAUCUUCAUUAGUCUCCCGUGGUCCAUUGUAAACCUUUUCCGUUCGUAUAAAAAAAAAGUAAACAAAUUUCAAUUUGAUGUGUAUGUAGAACAUCUCAAUCUCAAGUUCAGCUCUUCAUUGGUCUCCCUGGUUCAUUCUAAGCCUUUUCUUUUUGUAAGAACGAAGAAAACAAAUAGUUCUUUCCUCCGAUGACCAAACCCCGUUUAAAUUGUGCUUUAACCACGUUCUGCUAUUUCUUUCUUUUCUUCAAUUUACGGACAGAACACAAAGAAAGGCAAGUGUGUGAACAUUUUUUUUCUGCCAAAUCAAUUUAUGCAUUGAUGCUGGCUGGCCCAGCCUAGUAGUUGUUCCUCCCCCGACUCACACCCCAUGUGACAUGGGCUCAUACAAAGCAAAGUUGAUUACAACUUGUUAUAUUAACAACCAGGUUUUUGUUUCCAUUUUCAAUCAUUCAAUAUCUGUACUGUCAAUUAAUUUUGGUCAUCGAAUUCUCAAAUUCCAUCAUCAUAUUUGCACUAUUUUAGUUGUCAAUAUUUUUUAAAAAUAAUAAGACAAAAUAAACGGUACAAAUAGUUUUAUGUUAUUUAUGUUGUAAGUUGAAAUAGUAUGAAUAGUUUUAUUUGUUUUGGAGGAAUCCGAAAAUAUAUUGUGUCGGUUUUUUUUUGGUUCGAAAAAGUUAAAAAAUAAAAGACAUAGACAUGCAAUAUGCGGAAACCAAAUGGCUGGCCUACCUCAUACUUAUAAAUAAGAUUGCCUUCCAAUUCCUCCACCUCUCAUCUUCUCAAUAAAAAGUUGCACCUAGGUUUCGAACUUUUAGUGCACUUAUCGAUUUAAUUUCUAUACAAAUUGAUCAUUUCCAUGACUUCUGUCCAAGUUGAUGACCAGGUUCUGGUACAAGAGACUUUGUUCGUGAGGACAUUGACUCUGAAUAGGCCUCGCCAGCUGAACACCCUUUCCCUUGAAAUGAUCUCUCGUCUGUCAGAACUUUUCCAGGCCUAUGUGGACGACAACAAUGCCAAGUUGAUCAUUCUCAAGGGUAGAGGAAGAGCAUUUUGUGCUGGCGGCGAUCUAGUCGCCAUGCAUCGUCACUUUCUUGAAGGAAAUCUGAAAUAUGGUGAAAAUUUUGCUCAGAAGAUCCUCAACUUAACCUAUUUGAUAGCAACACACAGUAAACCCCAGGCAAGUAUGCAAUUAAUUUCCAUAAUGUCUUCAAAAUCUAGGUUUAAUAUGUUUUGGAUGCUAAGUGCUAAUACUUGUAUCAUCUCAACUGGUCAAUUAGUAUACCACAUGACAUAUAUCACAUCUUCCCCGAGAUGGUACAAAUAGUUCUAUCGUACUUUCUUUUGCAGACUUGAAGUUUUCCUAGAAUUCUUUCAAUACCAUCUUUUGUUAUUUAUACAUAUAUUUUGUAAAAUAGGUUUCAAUUAUGAAUGGGAUUGCAAUGGGAGCUGGGGUUUGUAUUUCAGUACACGGAAAAUUCCGUGUAGCAACAGAGAAUUCCAUCUUUGCAAUGCCAGAAAAUGCUCUGGGAUUGUUUCCUGAUGUCGGUCAUUUCUUGUCAAGACUUCCUGGAUUUUUUGGAGAGUAUUUGGGUCUUACAGGUACAAUGUUGGAUGGUGCUGAAAUGCUGGCUUGUGGUCUGGCAACUCACUUUGUUCCCUCAGCCAAAUUGUCUCUGUUGGAAAAAGCACUAAUUUCCAGAGCAGCUUCAGCUACAUCAAGCUGUGAUCUUGCUUUUAUUUCAGCAAUUAUAGACGAAUACUCCUUGCAGCAACCGGUUCUGAACGAGAAAAGUGCUUUACGCAAAAUGGAUGUCAUUGACAAGUGCUUUUCCAGACCAACAGUUGAAGAUAUCUUAAGUGCCCUUGAGAAGGAGGUUACUACAACAGAUGCAAAUAGGGCAGGUGAUGAAUGGCUAGCUUCAACGAUUCGAUCGCUGAAGAAGGCGUCGCCGAUGAGCUUGAAGAUUUGUUUGAGAUCCAUUAGAGAAGGAAGGGUGCAGGCAAUGGAUGAAUGUCUUGUCCGCGAGUACAGAAUAGCUUGCCAUGUUAUGAGAGGGCAAAUAAGCAAGGACUUCAGAGAAGGUUGCAGAGCUAUCUUGUGGGACAAGGACAAGAAACCAAAGUGGAAGCCUUCGAGUUUGGAUCUCAUCACUGAGCAUAUGGUUGACCACUGCUUCUCAAGGUUGGAUGGUGAUGAAGAAUUAAAGCUCCCUCAAAGAUGCAACUUGAAAGUAUUUGCCAAUGCCAAGCUUUGAGCUAAUUGUGAUUUUGGGGUGUUUCUCUAAACCUAUACCUAUCAAUAUUUCAAUUCCCUCCCUCAUACUAUUCAGAAUUUUCAUUAGUGUACACACCCCACCAUUUUCUCACCCCACCCCACCCCACACCAUACCACCCCAACUCUCUCAUUGGAAUAUGUAUGUACAACCAACUAUACAUAUAUAAUCUGUUAUAUACAUAUCUUGUGUUUUUUUUUGUUGUCAAAAUACAUAUCUUGUUUGUUAGUUCGGCUUAUAUAUAGGUACAUAUACAAUUGUAUAUGUUUAUUUCAUUCCGUUACAUAACAUGGCUAUGUUAGGGGUCUAUGUUGAAGAGUGUGUUGAGAGGUUCAAUUUUGUCGUUCAAUAAUAACUCUAUAUAAUUAAGGAUCCCCUCGUUAUAACCCUUCACUUUGUUGCAAUAUUGCUUAAAAAAUUUAAGCCUCUUCACAUAUUGCCAAUUGGUUGUUGCUUGGGGAAUCUGCCCAAUAUUUUUUUAAAAAAAUUUUAGGUGUCCAAAGACAUAUAUUCGAAGACUCGAGAAGAAACACAUAUUGGAGCUUGUAUUGUUUCGGCCCAACGAAAUAUGGGCUCUGAAAAUGAAAAGCUAGGUAGGGUUGAACUUCAGAAGAAAACUGAUUGGUCCAAAAUUUUAGGCUUUGGGUUUGGGUGACCGAAGCAGAUUUUGGCCGCACCAGUUUCUCAAGUAAACGAUUAAAAUAAAAACAAAACAAAACGAUGUUUCUUCCCAACCGCCGGAGCUUAGAGACAAGCUCACAAUGUCUACUUUUGAGCCUUCUGAUAGUGUCAAUGUGUCAUGGCAAUGCUCAUCGAUUGUGAAGAAGAACAAGAAGAACAACAGCAAACCAAUGGUCGAACUCCAAUGCCUAAGUGAAGGAAGUUGAGGUUCCACUCCGAAACCAAUUGGUAAUAGAGGGAGUAAUCCGACUUCUUAUAAGCUGUUGCUAGGUUUCUUAACUUUCAAAUAUGAGACUUUUUAUCUUCACCUUCUCACACGCCCCCGCAUGUGUGGCGAAUUUUCAAGCCUAACACGUGGACAACACAUUUUGGGUGAUGUGGAGCACGUGUUGUAAUGACCCAAACCUAAAAUUCAUAUUUAAUUAGUAAUUUAUUAUGCGAAAAGACAAUUUUGCCCUUUGACUAAAUUAUGAACUCAAAGUUGACUUUUUGACCGAAAAGGAAUUUGACAAUUCCACAUACGCCGUUGCGUAGAGCACGAUGACACGAAGUGGACUCGAAUCGGAAUUUUAACGAAGAAAAUACGAUUAAAAUAUCACGAGGGGCAAAAUAGUAAAUUGGAUUGUGCCGACAUUUGUCAGGUGUCGGAUACGCACAGGGUCUGACUCGGAUUCCAAAGCGGAAUUUGGAUCGGGUUCUGUCACGUGUGGCCGUUGAGCUUUCACACGUGGGCAACCUCUUUGAUAACAUGAAGGAAGUUGAGAUUCUACCCCAAAACCAAUUGGCUAUUGGGGGAGUAACUCAACUCCUUAUAAGCCCUUACUAGGUUUCUCAACUUUCCAGCGUGGGACUUUUUACCUUCACAUUCUCACACUAAGCGCCUAGAAAUCUUGCCUUCUCAAUCUUUGAAUAAGAGGGACGAAAGAGAAGCGGGUACAAGAAAGAGGGUUUUCAGCGUGAGCAAUUUCAAAGGGGUUAUUUUUCCCUAUUUGUACGGAGUUAUGGUCGUCCCAAGGCGAUCAUCAAGUUAGGUAGCAUCUUGGGGUUUUUGCAGAAAAUUUGUUGGUUUUUGUUUUUACGUUUGUUGAAGUUCCCUUUUUGGUUGUUGUUCUUAUAAUAAUGCACUGUCCCAAUUGUUUGAUCAUUUUGGAGAGUUUGUUUAUUUAUUUUUAAUUCAGUAAAGUUGCGUUCUAUAGAAACAGAUUGUUGAUUACAUUGGGAGAAGGGAUUGUGUGGCUUUUAAUAUCUAUGUUUUUCCUAAAGUUGGGUUUCUACGUGCAAGAUUGUUAAGGUUGAGUAUUAAUUUAAAACGACCCCUAAGAAUUGAGUAUUAGAGAGAACUUUACAGAGAUGUCCUACAUAAGAAUGUCCAGGAAUAGUCAAAGAGAAUUCAUCAAUUUAUUAGUUUAUCUUAUCUUCUUUUCUUUAAGUGUAUUAUUAGAUGAGCGAUGACGUAAUUAUCAUUAGUAGGCUUGAAAGGGCUAAAUUAAAUUUUUGAAUAAUAAAAUAACAACUCACCUAGGUUAUAGCCCCAAUUAGUCCCUUCUUGGGACCGUCCUUGCCUAAAUGUGGAGGAGGAUUAGUCCAAUCCCAAGUUCGGCUCUUCAUUAGUGGUCCAUUGUAAGUCUUUUUCUUUCGUAUGAAAAAAGCAAACAAAUUACAGUUUGACGUGUGUGUAGAACAUUUCAAUCUUAAGUUAAGCUCUUCAUUAGUCUCCCCUGGUCCAUUGUAAACCUUUUUCCUUCGUACGAAAAAAAACAAACAAAUUACAGUUUGAUGUGUAUGUAGAAUAUCUCAAUCUUAAGUUAAGCUGUUCAUUAGUCUCCCAUACUCCAUUGUAAGAAAAAAAAAACAAAUAGUUCUGUCUUCUGAUGACCAAACCCCGUUUAAAUUGUCCUUCAAGUUUAAAGCACAAUUUAACCACGUUCUGCUAUUUUUUUCUUUUCUUCCCGUCUGUUCUCUGCCUAUGCUGCUUAUUUACGAACGGAACACAAAGGCAGGCAAGUGUGUGAACAAUUUUUUUUCUGCCAAGUGUCAAUUUAUGCAUUGAUGCUGGCCCAGCCUAGUAGUAGUUCCUCCCCAACCCACACCACAUCUACUGUCAAUUAAUUUUGGGCCGAAUUCUUAAAUUCUGUCACACAAAAAAAAAGCAAGUUGUACAAGUUUACAUUUUCAAUCAUUCAACAAUAUCUGUACUGUCAAUUAAUUUUGGGCCGAAUUCUCAAAUUCUGUCAUAAUAUUUGCAUCAUUUUAAUUGUCAAUGUUUAAAAAAAAAUCAUGCCAAAAUGAAACGGUAAAAUAUUUUUCUGUUGUUUCUAUUGUAAGUUGAAAUGGUAUAAAUAGGUUUCAAACUUUCGUUGCACUUAUCGAUUUAAUUUCUAUACAUCAAUUAAUCAUUUUCCAUGGCUUCUUUCCAACUUGAUGACCAGGUUCUGAUACAGGAGACUUUGUUUGUGAGGAUAUUGACCCUAAACAGGCCUCGCCAGCUGAACGCCCUUUCCCUUGAAAUGCUCUCUCGGCUGUCACAACUUUUCUUGGCCUAUGAGGACGAUGCCAAUGCCAAGUUGAUCAUUCUCAAGGGUAAAGGAAGAGCAUUUUGUGCUGGCGGUGAUGUAGCCACCGUUCAUAUCGUCGUUUUCUUGAAGGAAAUCUGAAAUUUGGUGAAAAACUUGGUGAGAAGCUGCUCACCUUAACCUACUUGGUAGCAACAUGCAGCAAACCCCAGGCAAGUCUGAAAUUAAUUUCCAUAAUGUCUUCAAAAUCUAGGUUUAAUAUUUUUUUUGGGAUACUUUUGCUGAUAUUUGUAUCAUCUCAACUGGUGAAUUAGUGUACUGUAUGGCAUACGUCACAUCUGCCCAAUCGAGAUUUCGUAUAAUUAGUUUUAUCGUACUUUCUUUUGUUAGGCUCGAAGUUUUCGUACAAUUUCUUUCACUACCAUCUUUUGUUAUUUAUAUUUAUAUUUUUUUGAAACAGGUUUCAAUUCUGAAUGGGAUUGUCAUGGGAGGUGGGGUUGGUAUUUCAGUAAAUGGCAAAUUCCGUGUAGCAACAGAGAAUUCGAACUUUGCAAUGCCAGAAAAUUCUCUGGGAUUGUUUCCUGACGUGGGCUCCUCUUAUUUCUUGUCAAGACUUCCCGGAUUUUUUGGAGAGUAUUUGGGUCUCACAGGUGCAAGGUUGGAUGGUGCUGAAAUGCUUGCUUGUGGUCUGGCAACUCACCUUGUCCCCUCAGCCAAAUUGUCCCUUUUGGAAAAAGCUCUAAUUUCCAGAGCAGCUUCAGCUACUUCAUCAAGCUGUGGUCUUGCUUUUAUUUCAGCAAUUAUAGACGAAUACUCCUUGCAGCAACCAGCUCUGAACGAGAAAAGUGCUUUACACAAAAUGGAUGUCAUUGACAAGUGCUUUUCCAGACCAACAGUUGAAGAUAUCUUAAGUGCCCUUGAGAAGGAGAUUACUACAACAGAUGCAAACAAGGCAGGUGAUGAAUGGCUAGCUUCAACAGUUCGAUCGCUGAACAAGGCGUCGCCGAUGAGCUUGAAGAUUUGUUUGCGAUCCAUUAGAGAAGGAAGGGUGCAGGCAAUUGCCGAAUGCCUUAUCCGCGAGUACAGAAUAGAUUGUCCUGUUAUGAGAGGGCAAAUAAGCAAGGACUUCAGAGAAGGUUGCAGAGCUAUCUUGUGGGACAAGGACAAGAAACCAAAGUGGAAGCCUUCUAGUUUGGAGCUCAUCACUGAGCAUAUGGUUGACCACUACUUCUCUAGGUUGGAUGGUGAUGAAGAAUUAAAGCUCCCUCGAAGAUGCAACUUGAACGUAUUUCCCAAUGCCAAGCUUUGAGCUAAUUGUGAUUUUGGGGUGUUUCUACCUAUACCUAUCAAAUAUAAGAUCAGUAAUAUACAAGCAAAUGUUCUUACCAUUGAGCUAUGGACCCGAUGGCCACCACCCCAACUUUCUCAAUGGACUAUAUAUGUGCAACCAACUUAUCAAUAAAAUACAUAUGCAAUGUGUUUUAUACAUAUCUUGUUUAAUAAAUAAAAAAAAUACACCUCCUAAAAUUCUAGCAUUUUCAAUACCAUCUUUUGUUAUUUAUAUAUAUUUUUCAAACAGGUUUCAAUUCUGAAUGGGAUUGCCAUGGGAGGUGGGGUUGGUAUUUUAGUACAUGGCAAAUUCCGUGUAGCAACGGAGAAUUCGAUCUUUGCAAUGCCAGAAAAUGCUCUGGGAUUGUUUCCUUAUGUGGGUGCCUCUUAUUUCUUGUCAAGACUUCCUGGAUUUUUCAGAGAGUAUUUGGGUUUUAUUGUGCAAGCACGGGUGGAACUACUUGUGGGAUACAUUGGGCUAUAGCCCAGUUAGCUUUUUGGAAAAGAAAAUAUUAAACCUAGAUAGUUCAUUGAUUGAGGCUAUCAUCUUGUGACUUCUUGGCAGUUUCUCACGUAAAGAAGAUUGCAAGUUUGAAGUCCCACAUAAAGAAAAAAAAAAUCAUAAUAUCCUAAUUGGUCCCACAUAAUGAAGUAUCCUCGAUUAUAAUAAAAUAUGUCAAAAUAAAAAAUAUACAUGUGAAACUUAGCCUAGCAGCGGUUCCCAAAAAAUACAUGUUGCUUUUUGUGUUCUUUGUUACGAAAGUCUCAUAGGUAAAAUUCUUAUACCUAAAUCUCCAAUUUUAAUAUUUUCAUUGAUUUGUCUCUAUAAGAGAAAGAUUUUCUCAAUGAAAUUCAUUAGUUUUACGAAUAAGAUGAAACGAAAAAGUCACAAACUAUUUCAAGAUUAGCAACAAGAUGGAUUCAUAUGACAAUAACAAAAUAUUUCAAUUCUCUCAAGGAUCUCAGGGCACAACUUCAAUAGGUACACUUUUAAUUAUGUUGUUAAACAUAUAUUCAUUUUAAUAAUAUUUUUUUUAUUGCAUCUAAUAUAUAUAUAUAUAUAUGUUUUAUGUUAAUUCUUAUUGGAAAUUAGUCAAUGUAGUUAUGAAUUGCAUGAUUUAUAUGAUUUAAUGUAUACUUUUGUUUUUGUCAAAAUUUUUAGCUAGCCCACCCGUUAAAAAAUUCAUAGUUCCGCCAUUGGGUCCAAGGUUGGAUGGUGCUGAGAUGCUUGCUUGUGGUCUAGCAACUAACUUUGUUCCCUCAGCCAAAUUGCCUCUAUUGGAAAAAGCUCUAAUUUCCAGAGCAGCUUCAGCUACUUCAUCUAGCCGUGAUCUUGCUUCUAUCUCAGCAAUUAUAGACGAAUACUUGCUGCAGCAACCGGCUCUGAAUGAGAAAAGUGCUUUUCACAAAAUGGAUGUCAUUGCCAAGUGCUUUUCCAGACCAACAGUUGAACAAAUCUUAAGUGCCCUUGAGAUGGAGGCUACUACAACAGAUACAAACAGAGCAGAUGGUUAGCUUCGACGAUUCGUUCGCUAAACAAGGCUUCGCCGAUGAGCUUGAUGAUUUGUUUGAGAUCCAUUAGAGAAGGAAGGGUGCAGGCAAUUGAUGAAUCCUUGUCCGCGAGAGUACAGAAUAACUUGUCAUGUUCUGCGAGGGCAAAUCAGCAAGGACUUCAGAGAAGGUUGCAGAGCUAUCUUGUGGGACAAGGAUAAGAAACCAGAGUGGAAGCCUUCUAGUUUGGAGCUCAUCACGGAUCAUAUGGUUGACCAAUGCUUCUCUAGGUUGGAUGGUGAUGAAGAAUUAAAGCUCCCUCAAAGAUCCAACUUGCCUGUAUUUGCCAAUGCCAAGCUUUGAGCUAAUUAUGAUUUUGGGGUGUUUCUAUACUCUAUACCUAUCAAUAUUUCAAUUCCCUCCCUAAUGUUAUUCCAAUUUUAUUAGUCUACCCCUCAACAUUUUCUCAUUCCACACCACACCACCCUAACUUUUUUUUCCUCUGUCAAAGUUUGAAAGGGGAAGGGGAAGAACUAAUCUGUAAGCAA
rnacentral:lncRNA from 1 species